GCCAGGCAUGGUGGUGCGUGCCUGUAAUCCCAGCUAUGCAGGAGGCUGAGACAGGAGAAUAGCUUGAACCCAGGAGGCAGAGGUUGCAGUGAGCCGAGAUCACACCACUGCACGCCAGCCUGGGUGACAAAGCAAGACUCUGUCUCAA
rnacentral:SRP_RNA from 1 species